rnacentral:rRNA from 1 species
CCUACGGGAGGCAGCAGUGGGGAAUAUUGCACAAUGGGGGAAACCCUGAUGCAGCGAAGCCGCGUGAGUGAAGAAGGAUUUCGGUAUGUUAAGCUCUAUCAGCAGGGAAGAAGAAAGACGGUAGCGGGCUAAGAAGCACCGGCGAACUACGUGCCAGCAGCCGCGGUAAUACGGAGGGGGCAAGCGUUAUCCGGAUUUACUGGGUGUAAAGGGAGCGUAGAGGGCUGUGCAAGUCGGAAGUGAAAGCCCAGGGCUCAACCCUGGGACUGCCUUGGAAACUGGGGAGCUAGAGUGCUGGAGAGGUAAGUGGAAUGCGUGGUGUAGCGGUGAAAUGCGUAGAUAUUAGGAGGAACACCGGUGGCGAAGGCGGCUUACUGGACAGUAACUGACGUUGAGGCUCGAAAGCGUGGGGAGCAAACAGGAUUAGAUACCCCUGUAGUC